GACGAACGCUGGCGGCGUGCCUAAUACAUGCAAGUUGAGCGCUGAAGGUUGGUACUUGUACCAACUGGAUGAGCAGCGAACGGGUGAGUAACGCGUGGGGAAUCUGCCUUUGAGCAGGGGACAACAUUUGGAAACGAAUGCUAAUACCGCAUAAAAACUUUAAACACAAGUUUUAAGUUUGAAAGAUGCAAUUGCAUCACUCAAAGAUGAUCCCGCGUUGUAUUAGCUAGUUGGUGAGGUAAAGGCUCACCAAGGCGAUGAUACAUAGCCGACCUGAGAGGGUGAUCGGCCACAGUGGGACUGAGACACGGCCCAAACUCCUACGGGAGGCAGCAGUAGGGAAUCUUCGGCAAUGGACGAAAGUCUGACCGAGCAACGCCGCGUGAGUGAAGAAGGUUUUCGGAUCGUAAAACUCUGUUGGUAGAGAAGAACGUUGGUGAGAGUGGAAAGCUCACCAAGUGACGGUAACUACCCAGAAAGGGACGGCUAACUACGUG
rnacentral:rRNA from 1 species